rnacentral:rRNA from 1 species
CCUACGGGAGGCAGCAGUGGGGAAUAUUGCACAAUGGGCGAAAGCCUGAUGCAGCCAUGCCGCGUGUGUGAAGAAGGCCCUAGGGUUGUAAAGCACUUUCAGUGGGGAGGAAAGGUUGAAGGUUAAUACCCUUUGGCUGUGACGUUACCCACAGAAGAAGCACCGGCUAACUCCGUGCCAGCAGCCGCGGUAAU